rnacentral:rRNA from 1 species
UACGGGGGGGGUAAGCGUUGUUCGGAAUUACUGGGCGUAAAGAGCGCGCAGGCGGCUUGGUAAGUCGGAUGUGAAAUCCCGAGGCUCAACCUCGGGUCUGCAUCCGAUACUGCCCGGCUAGAGGUAGGUAGGGGAGAUCGGAAUUCCUGGUGUAGCGGUGAAAUGCGCAGAUAUCAGGAGGAACACCGGUGGCGAAGGCGGAUCUCUGGGCCUUACCUGACGCUCAGGCGCGGAAGCUAGGGGAGCGAACUGG